GGAGGCACACGAGUCUCUCUCAUCCUGAGCAUUGUGCUCAAUGGCGUCAAGCCACGUCUAGAUGCUCUCUCCUUCUUCCCUCUCUUCAAAAGGAGACCCCGGAAAGGCUGACCAACAGUGGAGUGAUCCACACUCAAUAAUAGACCAACAAAGGAGGCAGUAAAAUAGAAAGGUUUAGAGGUUAGGUUAGACACACUGAUGCAGCGGGGGAGAAAGAUUUACAGGAACGUGGACAUUUUGCUCUCGCCGUGCUUUCUUUGUCAUUCAGCAAUGCUGCUGUUGAACGUGCCUUCUCCCAGAUGGCAUUGAUAAAGAAUUAAAUAAACAAGCUGAGAAGCAGAAUGCAGGAAAGAUGUCGAGCUGAGAAACAGAAUGCAGGAAAGAUGUCUUGAAAACAUCAUGAGAGUCUGAGCCCACAUGCAAAGGAACGUCAGCCAGGAUGCUCUCAUUAUUCACCGCUGACAUCUACUCAGCACAACAGGCCGAGGUCAAAUGGAGACAACCCUCUUCUCUAAAAAAAGAGAGGAAACAGACUGUAAAUAGUUACAUUUGAUGUGAAUAGUUUGAAUCGGUGGAACAAAAAAAGAACAGACAAGAGUGGCAGUUCACAGCAGGAGGAGAGUGCUCUGGAUACGGGCAGGGAGUUUGCUGAACACAAGAAAAAAAGCAGGAGCAACAUAUGGGGAAUUGCAGCAGCAACUUGUAUGGGGAUCACCCCAUCCUCUUUGGAGGGCUACUAUCAAACCAGCACUGCUGUUUUGAGAGAGGAUGGAUGACUGGGACAUCAAGCUGCAACCACACAUUAAUUGACAUUUAUUAUGAAAUAAAAUAACUGUUGGGGCUUUUAGAUUUGUAUACUCCCGUUUAAAGGAAUACUAUUAUUUUAGAGCAAUGUGACUUGUAUUAACCCUAUUACACAAUGAUUAACAUUGUGUUAACACCAUUUCAGAAGAAUGUUUUCUGA